ensembl:lncRNA
AUGGACCUUAGCCUGCCAGGCUCCUCUCUUCAUGGGAUUCUCCAGGCAAGAAUACUGGAGUGGACUGCCAUUCCCUCCUCCAGGAGGUCUUUCUGACACAGGGAUCGAACCCAUGUCUCCUGCAUCUACUGUGUUGGCAGGGGAACUCUUUACCACUGAGCCACCUGGGAAGCAGAGAAGGGAUGAGAGGUGAGCAAAGUGCGCCUGAUGCUACAUGUGAAAGGAAGGAAGAGCAGCUGCUUGGGGUGAGCUAAGCGUGCUCGCCUAAGGCGUGUCUGGGACCAUUUCUCCAGCAGCCAAGGAGGUCAGCAAAGGCUCAGCUGCCCCACCCUCUGACUCCAGCCAGCUGUUGCAAGGGCUCCAGGGAUAGAGCCUCUUCCACACUGCUGUGUCUUCAGGGCUCAUUAGGAAAAGGCGGCUGUCCUCUUGUUGAUGAAUGGAGACGAUCCAAGAAGAAAACAACCGUAUCAGGUGAUGUAUCCUCUCAUCAACUUCCCUUACCUCUCCUCACCUGAGCAGUUCACAGGCCCUUACCUACAUCCCCGUUGCCCUCAUGGUAGAACAUCUCAGGACAACAUCCAAGUGUUUAGAGGAGAGAUGGCUAAAGGAGAAUUGCC